UUGUGCACCACUUGGAAUCUGUUUCGUCCUCUCUGGAUGCUGCUCUGCAGACAGCUUCUAAAGUUUCAGCUUCAUCUGAAUUCCAAGAUGUGAAUUCAUGCUCAUUUGACAAAGACCUAAAGCAGAACAGGAAGUGCUAAGAGAGAUGGACGCCAGACGGCCAGAGCUGUAGUGCCGUAACAGAGAAGGUAGUCCCCUCCAAGCUUGUCAUAGACUUCCUGGCUUCCUCGUUGUCAACGACUGAGGAGGCGGAUCAUAGCAGGAGGUUGCAGCAGGGAAAGUCAGCAUCAUUGGUUCUUUAAGGGUCAUCUGUAUAUUCAGAGGAUUAUUCCAGCAUGCACAGACGAAGACGAUUUUUUGCCUUGUUAAUUUGCGAGAUCAUUAAUCAGAAAGUGCUCCUAACACUAUUUGACAUUUGCUUUGUCCCCAACAAGAGAAUGGCAAUAUCAACUAACAGAAAGAGGGAGGUAUAAACUUUCACAGCUAUGCUGUAAAAAUCGAACAGGAAACUACCUUGGUACUGAAGGAACAGGGGUGUCAAGCUUGGCUGUCAAGCAAGUAGGAACAUGAGCUGCAACGAUGACAUCACUGGUAAACCCAACCUAUUCGCAUCUCUACCAUCGUUCCUUAAGCUCAGAUGAGCACUUUAUGGGUCUUGGGUGCCUCCCAUGCUCUUCCUUUUUUUGGUCUUCCUUUUGGCUUGGUCAGAUUCAUUAUUAUCAUGUAAAUACCAGGACAAUACAGUAGAACCUUUAACCAGUUCCAAAUCUUUGAGCCUGCUUCUGACGGCAGCAGGAGCAAUGGCAAUCGGGCGGUACUGGAUAGUGGAUUCCCUUGGAAAGCAGUCUCGGAAAACGAUCAAAAG